UACGUAGGCAGCAAGCGUUGUUCGGAGUUACUGGGCGUAAAGGGUGUGCAGGCGGUUGCUUAAGUUUGGUGUGAAAUCUCCCGGCUUAACCGGGAGGGUGCGCCGAAUACUGAGUGACUCGAGUGCGGGAGAGGAGAGUGGAAUUCCUGGUGUAGCGGUGAAAUGCGUAGAUAUCAGGAGGAACACCGGUGGUGUAGACGGCUCUCUGGACCGUAACUGACGCUGAGACACGAAAGCGUGGGUAGCAAACAGG
rnacentral:rRNA from 1 species